UACGGAGGGAGCUAGCGUUGUUCGGAAUUACUGGGCGUAAAGCGCACGUAGGCGGCUUUGUAAGUUAGGGGUGAAAGCCCGGAGCUCAACUCCGGAAUUGCCUUUAAGACUGCAUCGCUUGAAUCCGGGAGAGGUGAGUGGAAUUCCGAGUGUAGAGGUGAAAUUCGUAGAUAUUCGGAAGAACACCAGUGGCGAAGGCGGCUCACUGGACCGGUAUUGACGCUGAGGUGCGAAAGCGUGGGGAGCAAACAGGG
rnacentral:rRNA from 1 species